AUGAACGCUGGCGGCGUGCCUAAUCCAUGCCGGUCGAGCGAACAGACGAGGAGCUUGCUCCUCUGACGUUAGCGGCGGACGGGUGAGUAACACGUGGAUAACCUACCUAUAAGACUGGGAUAACUUCGGGAAACCGGAGCUAAUACCGGAUAAUAUAUUGAACCGCAUGGUUCAAUAGUGAAAGACGGUUUUGCUGUCACUUAUAGAUGGAUCCGCGCCGCAUUAGCUAGUUGGUAAGGUAACGGCUUACCAAGGCAACGAUGCGUAGCCGACCUGAGAGGGUGAUCGGCCACACUGGAACUGAGACACGGUCCAGACUCCUACGGGAGGCAGCAGUAGGGAAUCUUCCGCAAUGGGCGAAAGCCUGACGGAGCAACGCCGCGUGAGUGAUGAAGGUCUUCGGAUCGUAAAACUCUGUUAUUAGGGAAGAACAAAUGUGUAAGUAACUAUGCACGUCUGGACGGUACCUAAGCAGAAAGCCACGGCUAACUACGG
rnacentral:rRNA from 1 species